rnacentral:lncRNA from 1 species
GGAGCAGUUGUUAAUUCCAGUCCGGACUCUUCAUCAUUAGAGAAAUGAAAUAUUGGACAAAGCGGUAAAUUUGAAGAAGAAAGAUAGAGAGUAGACUCAUAGACCUUCAGAGCCGGGUGGAGGGCCUGACGGGCACCACUGCCGUCGUAUUAUGAGCAGGUGGCGGGGGCAUGGGUGAUGCAGGCAGCUUGCACCGCCAGGCCCUGGACAGCCCCUGCGGGGAAGCCAGAGUCUCCCUACAUGCAGGCUGGCAAGUUCCCCCAGAUUCGGUGUUCAACCGAACGACUGUCUUGGGCAGACUCUGGACCUUAGCGCAAAAAAGGGGCCUAGGGGACAGCAAUCAAGAAACCGAAAAGCAAAAUGACAAGUUCUUCCUGAUGGAACCACACACGACAAUACCUCAGUGCUUCAGUUUGCACGUCCCGUGGCGCUACGGAAAUACAACACACUCCGGGAAUCCAGAGGAGCUCCCUACGCGACAUACCAGGGUGAUGCCUGCUAUCCCAUGAAUCACGACGGCCUUCAGGUCGGCCUCCCUGUGAGCACCCCUAAGCACCCCAAGUCUCUGUGGCUACGCACAGCAGCCUGGGGUAAAAAUAAGAUUCUCUCCAGGCUGAUGACCUUCCCGUGAAUCAACAGAAUUUCCGACAGUAGCCUCCCUCCACACAAGGUUUUCUCAACACGUGAGCCACUUGUUUUUGAGCUAGAGAGACAUGCUGAAAGCCUCAGGGAAAAAUAGCACUUAAAACAUAAAAACAGCCUUUCUGUUGAGCAAUCCGUCCCUGUUCUCAUGGGAGAGCUGGAGCCAUACGUGUUAACGGCCUCCACUGUGUGCUUGGGUGGAUACCGACGACCCCAAGGACCCCUGAAAGAAACGCAGAUGGACCAAGCCAGGCUUUGCCCUCCCAAGAAACCCAACCCCCUUAAGCCCCAGGAGCCCGAUCUUCCCGGAUGGAAGGAUUUCGGAGGCCCGGACGAAGGGGAGGUGGAAGGUAAAGGUACCGGGAAUGCAGGUGACCAGGAUGUGACUGGGAAGCUGGUCAUUGGUCUUGGGCCUGCGUUCACAUUUCUGCUUUGGGGCUUCGUACGGCUGUUUGACCUCGAGCCACCAGAAGCCCUGGUGUCACCGCUUUCAGAUGCGUAA